GUGUGGGAGCGUCAGCUGGCGGCCGCACAGCUGGCGCAGAUUCGCGCCGGCCUCAACUGGACGGCGCUGGGCGCGCCCUGCCGCCGCGCCGUCCGCGGUCUGCUGGACGGCCUGGACGACCUGGCUGGCUGGGCCUGGGAAAUGUUCGACUCCAACGGCCGUCCAGAGUCCGGCUUCAGCGACGGCAAUAGCUUCUGGGAGGGCCGCUUUUCCCAGUGCAACAGCGUGCUGCACGACCUGAUCGUGGUCAACGACACCGUUCCACAUCAAGGGCCGCUACUACAAGGCCCUGCUGUCCGGUGUUCUGGAGCAGGAACAGCAGAGCUUCCGCGUCACCGUCGGCACCUGCUUCCCUGACCUCUGCACCAACGGUGACGUCAAGGCCAUGCUCAAUCUCGCGCCCGGCUU